GAUGAACGCUGGCGGCGUGCCUAAUACAUGCAAGUCGAGCGAACGGACGAGAAGCUUGCUUCUCUGAUGUUAGCGGCGGACGGGUGAGUAACACGUGGAUAACCUACCUAUAAGACUGGGAUAACUUCGGGAAACCGGAGCUAAUACCGGAUAAUAUUUUGAACCGCAUGGUUCAAAAGUGAAAGACGGUCUUGCUGUCACUUAUAGAUGGAUCCGCGCUGCAUUAGCUAGUUGGUAAGGUAACGGCUUACCAAGGCAACGAUGCAUAGCCGACCUGAGAGGGUGAUCGGCCACACGUGAAGUGAGACAGAGUCCCGGCUCCUGCGGGAGGGCGCAGUAGGGGAUCUUCCGCAAAAGGCGGGAGCCUGACGGAGCGACCGCGAGUGAGGUAUGAAAGUCUUCGGAUCGUAAAACUCUGUUAUUAGGGAAGAACAUAUGUGUAAGUAACUGUGCACAUCUUGACGGUACCUAAUCAGAAAGCCACGGCUAACUACGUG
rnacentral:rRNA from 1 species